rnacentral:misc_RNA from 1 species
UUUCACUCUUAUUAUCUAUCUUCCCAAGGUCUAGUUAUGCAGGACCCUUUACCUUUCUUGAACACCAUCUCACCUUUUACGAUUCACGCGCGCUCUCUCUCUAGGCUCGUUGUCUUCCUCAAGCUUUUCUUCAGUCUUCUUUGGUUUUCUGAUACUGAAAGGUAAGAAUUGUGAACCCUCAGCUUUGCAACAUUUUACACUGGUCUUAAACGGUCACUUUUCCGUUCUUUUUUUUGGUCUGUGGAAAUGUUUUUCUUGAUUUUGCUGGUUUUUGUUCUUUUUAACUCUCAUGGACUAGUGAGUUCUUUGAACAAUGAAGGGUUUGCACUUAUUUCGUUCAAGCAGUCCAUAUAUCAAGACCCAGAAGGGUCUUUGAGCAACUGGAACUCCUCUGAUGAGACCCCUUGUUCAUGGAAUGGGGUUACAUGUAAGGAGCAAAAAGUUGUCUCUGUUAGCAUUCCAAAGAAGAAACUUUAUGGGUUUCUUCCUUCUUCUCUUGGGUCUCUCUCUAACCUCAGACAUGUAAAUUUGAGGAAUAAUAGGUUCUUUGGUAGCUUACCUGCCGAGCUCUUUCAAGCUCAAGGGCUACAGAGUCUGGUCCUUUAUGGGAAUGCCUUAUCUGGGACUUUACCAAAUGAGUUUGGCAAGCUUAAAUACCUUCAAAGCCUGGAUUUAUCACAGAAUUUCUUCAAUGGGUCAAUACCCACGUCAAUUGUUCAAUGCAAGAGACUUAGAACCUUUGAUCUAAGCCAAAACAAUUUCACUGGUUCUUUGCCAGAUGGUUUUGGUACUGGUUUGGUUUCUCUUGAAAAACUUGAUCUUUCAUUCAAUAAACUCAAUGGUUCAAUUCCUAGUGAUAUAGGAAAUUUGUCUAGUUUGCAAGGAACUGUUGAUUUGUCACAUAAUCUCUUCACUGGUUCAAUCCCGGCUAGUCUUGGAAACCUUCCUGAGAAGGUUUACAUUGAUCUGACUUACAACAAUUUGAGUGGUCCAAUACCACAAAAUGGUGCGCUAAUGAACAGAGGACCCACGGCAUUUAUAGGAAAUCCUGGGCUCUGUGGUCCUCCAUUGAAAAACCCUUGCUCUUCCAGUACUCCUAGUGCAAGUUCACCUUCAUCAAUUCCCUUUUUGCCAAGUAACUACCCGCCUCAAGAUUUGAAUAACAAUGGUGGAAAGACCGAGAAAGGAAGAGGAUUGAGUAAGAGUGCUGUUAUUGCAAUCAUUGUGAGUGAUGCAAUUGGAAUUUGCCUUGUAGGGUUGUUAUUUUCAUAUUGUUAUUCAAGGGUUUGUGCUUGUAGUAAGGAUAAAGAUGAAACUGGUUAUGUUUUUGGCAACGGAGGGAAAGUAAGGCAGGAGUGCUUGUGCUUUAGAAAGGAUGAGUCUGAUUCUCUAUCUGAGAAUGUGGAGCAGCAUGAUCUCGUGCCACUGGAUACGCAGGUAGGUUUUGAUUUAGAUGAGCUGCUUAAGGCUUCAGCUUUUGUUUUGGGGAAGAGUGGAAUUGGGAUUGUAUACAAAGUUGUGCUUGAAGAUGGGCUCACUUUAGCUGUGAGAAGAUUGGGAGAAGGGGGCUCUCAAAGGUUUAAGGAAUUCCAGACAGAAGUAGAAGCAAUUGGAAAGCUAAGGCAUCCUAAUAUUGUAACACUCAGAGCGUAUUACUGGUCUGUUGAUGAGAAGUUGCUAAUAUAUGAUUAUAUACCUAAUGGAAGUCUUGCAACUGCGCUUCAUGGUAAGUUCUAGAAAUCCCUUUGCAGCAAAUAAAACACAUUUCUGUUUUCACUCAUUUCCAUUAAUGAUAGUAAUUUUGGCUUCUUAAAUGGGGUUUUGGUUACUGGCCUGAUGUUUCUUUUAUAUUUUUUGACUGUUUCUGUUCUUUCUUAAUAUAUUUAGGGAAGCCUGGAAUGGUUUCAUUCGCGGCGUUAUCUUGGUCUGUUCGUUUGAAAAUCAUCAAGGGAAUUGCAAAUGGCUUGGUUUAUCUGCAUGAAUUCAGCCCUAAAAAGUAUGUUCAUGGAGAUGUGAAGCCAAGUAAUAUAAUUCUGGGACAUAACAUGGAUCCACACAUUUCUGAUUUUGGACUUGGACGCCUUGCAAAUAUUGCUGGAGGGUCCCCAACUCUGCAAUCUAAUCGAGUUGCCACAGAGAAACUGCAAGAAAGGCAACAAAAGAGUGCACCUAGCUCAGAUGUUGCUACAGUUUCAUCCGCAAAUUUGGGAUCUUACUACCAGGCCCCUGAAGCACUUAAAGUGGUAAAACCAUCACAGAAAUGGGAUGUUUACUCUUAUGGGGUGAUCUUACUAGAAAUGAUAACGGGAAGAUCCCCAGUGGUCCAUGUGGGUACCUCAGAAAUGGAUCUUGUUCACUGGAUUCAGCUUUGCAUUGAAGAGCAAAAACCACUUGCAGAUGUCUUAGAUCCAUAUUUAUCUCCAGAUGUGGACAAGGAAGAGGAAAUUAUUGCAGUUCUAAAGAUAGCAAUGGCUUGUGUUCACAGCAGCCCUGAAAGGAGACCUACAAUGAGGCAUGUCUCUGAUGCUUUGAGCAGAUUGGUUGUGAGUGGAACUGAGAAUUUGAGGCAUACUGAUUCUUGAAGACUUCUUUUAGUUUCGUUGAAUAGGGGCUUCAAGAUAAAUUGUUCAUUGCACUUACAGUGAAAACACGUACCCCUAUCAGUUGAAGGUGUGUAAAACUAAAAGAUGAGAUCUGUGUAAUUCAUGGCUUUGUCUUUGGUAGGUUUUUUCUUCUUGUCAUUGCAUGAGGGCUAGAUGGUUGUUGGUGGGUCUGUUUUUGGAGCAUGCUAUCGCUAAUUUGCCAUGAGAGGCGGCAACUGCUUUUUUAUUCUCAAAGUAUAUGCGAAAGAAAAGGAUGUCGUCUUCUUCUUGCUCUUAUUGCAGACCUUUGUCUCUUUGUUGUACUGUCAAUGAAAAGUUAAUUGAUUGUUUAUUUCAUCUUCCCUUUUUGUAAUAAGAAACAAUAAUUAUUGAGUAAUGGAGCAUGGAUUAAAUAUUUCCAUCACAGUCACAUGGAAAAAACAGAAAGAUCCUUGUUAUAGUUGACUAUGAAGGUCAUAAAAGACUGAUCAGG